GUUCCCGUACAAUCACUGAAGUUAAGCAACAUUAAGCCUGGUCAGUACCUAGAUGGGUAACUGCUUGGGAAUACCAGAUGCUGUAAG